CCAUCUUGAUCAUGACCAAGUCCAAUACUCAACAAACUCUGUUUCCUUCAACUGCAGCUAAACUAUCCAUUUCAUCAGAAAACUUCAUUCAUAUCAGUCAUGUCACUUCCUAAUAGCUAACUGUAGUAUGAGUUCCUGAGAGAGGAACUUGUGAAUCUCCAAAAGAUCAAUUGGCUUGCUUCAACAGUAGUGCCGAAAUUAUCACUUGAUCAUUCAUCUGCAUGACCAUUUAUGUGACACUGACUAAGUGUUUUUUCUUCAUAUCAGGAUAGGCAAAAAUCAAGUUUCAAGAUAAGUAAUAAACAAAGAAAAAUAUGAAACCACAACAACAUCAUACCCUAAGGAAUUUCUUCAUAUCUGCAUGACCAUUCAUCUGCAUGACCAUUUAUGAGACCCGACCACCGUUCGACGCCGCACUCCUCCCCGAUUGGCCAAAAUCUUCCCCUAUUGUCGUAGAUCUGAAGAAAAUCCCUCGUCUCCGGUGACCCCUCGGAUACCCGACGAUCCACAUGCAAGCUAAGUUGCUCCUCUCUUUUCCUUCUUGCCUCUUGUUCAAAAUCCCCUCUCCUUAGUAGGUUUUUUUUAUAUUUUUUUCAGUUCGAAAUUAGCAUUUAGGUAAAGAAAUAAAAAGAUUAAGAUGCUUUUGAUUUUUGCUUUCUUGCUUUUUAUUAUUUUUUUCGAAAAACCGAGAGAGGAAAAACUCCUCUUUUACAUGCUUUCUUCGGGGUUCUUUUAUAAGCCCCGAAGUAUUACAAAUAUUUCAUAUUUUUUGCUAUGAAAUCAUUACAAUAAUCUGACAUUUGCGUGUGAACUUGGAUUGAUUGUUGCUUGCUAUGUUCUGAAUUUUUGUAGAUGCAAAUGGGGCGGUUGACAGCAGCAUAGGCAGGCGGUGACAAGGAGCAGAGGCGCAUGCGGCGGCCACAACAACAUCAUACCCCUAAGAUAAAUAGAAAGUUGGAUAUUGGAGCUCUGGUUGCAUGGUAUAUUGAUUGAAUCAGUUAAAGGGGAGGAACCCAUUGUUUGGUCUGGGUGCUGUUCUUGUGAUUUAUGGCAUUGGAAUUUGCAAACAGUUUCUGAAAUGGAUUUUUCUGGAAUUGGAAAACCAGAAUGUGCUUGGGAGGUCUCAACACAUAUUCCUAAUGGAAAGGUAAUAGUUUACUCUAGCAUUUCCAUUAAUGUAUGUAGUUCAGAGGUUUUCAGUUGAACUAAAAGCGAACCAUUGGUAGAAUGAUUUUGAUUAUGCUUUCAUGAGAAAUAAUGCACAUUUUGUGCAAGGCUUAGCUAAACGUAAAACCUAUUUCGUUCUGACCCUUGGAGGCAGUCCAGUUAAGCAUUAUGACCCUCCCAGUUAUCGGGCUGUUGGUAAGCUGUACACCUUCAGUUGCAUACUUAUAGCUGUAAAGACUAGUUACUCUGAGUUAUAGUAGCAAUGUCAAUAGGUUAAGUGUUGUAAAAAGUGAAUGCCAACUCAGAAGCCUUCCUAAUUGAGUUCCUCUAAGACUGGUUUGGAAAUAUAGUAGCAAUGUCAUGACAGAGAUUAAGUGUUGUAAGAAGUGAAUGGCAAAUCGGAAGCCUUCCUUAUUCAAUUGCUCCUUGUUCAUACCAUGUCUGAAUAUAUCUUGAUUAUUUAAAGUAGAUGUCCGGCUUGAUUACGAAAAAUGAAGAAUUCGGAUGCUUUGGAUGACAUAUUUCUUAUAAUUUUUUUCUCUCUUGCUUCAAAACCAGGAAUCAAUUUUGUUUACACUGCAAAAGUUUUGUAAGCUUUUGUUAUGAUGUUUCUGUUGGGAGGUGUUUUCAUGUUUCAUCCGGCAAAGACCAUUCAAAAAGGUUACCGAGUAAGAUUGCCCACAUCUACUCUUCUAUGACCGUGGUCUGGCAACAAAACCCCAAUUAUGGCUCUUCUUAGACUGAUAUACCCCUGUGCUGAGGUCUAGUCCCCCCCCCC